CUAUCAGCGCUCCUUUCUGCAUCCAUCAACUCACUAUCUGAAAGGCUGCAGCUGCUAAAUAGCGGUAGUCACACCUGUGACGCCCCUGCAAGCCGCAGCUGGCGCACGUGACUGAAUUCCGCGCGUUGUGUGAUCCGUAGCUUAAGACAGGCACAACAUCAACAAUUACACCGACGCCGUCGCGUCAUAGUUCACACUCUACUCUUUCCCUCCUUCAGCCCACUAGUCACUACAUGUUCAAGGGACUGCUGUGUCCUGUUCUGGAGAGACGAGCAGCACGACGGCUUGCCACCGUCGCCAACAGCGCUUGCCGCGGCGGCCGGCAACGCUCGCGUGAGACGGUGCUGGAGUCCACUCGACUUCUGGAGAAACUGCAGAAACGCCAAGGGCCGGGGCGCACACGAACUGCACAGCAGCGCGCGUGGCGCAGUGGGCUCACCAACCCACUGAGCUCGGCCGAGUCGUCCGCAGCGGCGCAGGCAGACGCGCUAGCGCAAGAGGAAGCGAACUGGCGGGCCGCAGAUCCGCUGCGCAAAUGGAAGGACGAGUCCGAAGAGUUACGGCGGCGGCAGCAGGGGGCAGGGGAUGGGGCGCACUCCGUCCCCGGGUCCGCACAGCCGACCUCGUCAUCGCACUAUGACGCCGUGAAUGCGGACACCGGCAACAGCGCUGUGCAGGAGCGUUUUGAUGCUCUUGUGCACCGCGCGCUGCUCCGCUACGGUCCGCCGCUGCCGGUGGAGGUGGUCAUGAACAACAACGUGAUAUCCGCCGCCUCCUUCGCAUCAGGCACGCGCCGAGCUGCGCAGCACAGCUACUCUGACGCAAAUGUCGCCUCUGACAAGGGCGCGGACGACUCUAGCGCCGUGUACUAUGAUGAGGUGGCGCUCAAGCUGCACGAGCUCAUGACGAUUCUCCGCAAAGAAGAACCGCACUUCAGCUUACGGGACGACUGCGACGGGGUGCCGCUCUCCUUGAUGGUGAAGAACUGCUGCUACCUGCGUGCCUUUGGUGGCAAGGUGAACUACAUGCGCUUUGUGCGACGCCUGCGCGCGGAUGAGCUGCAGUCGGGCGGCAACAAUCAAGGUGGAGGGGUGCAAGGCGGACACGAGGCAAACGCGGCAGUGGUAUCGCUUGGCAAGUACAUGAUGCGCGAGCUGCCUUCGCAGGACGGACUCCGUAAAGGUCCUCAGCCGUGGCGCUACACUUAUCGAAUGAUCUGAGUCGUGCUCAAGGUAGGGGUUGUCCGUCUUUGCCUGCGCUUGCGCCUAUGUGUAUGUGUUGCGCCCAUUUUGGGGGAGGGGUAAGUAAAGGCUGGGCUGUAAAGGCUCUGCCGUCUGCCUUCUCCCCACCCAUCCACUUCCGCCUCUCUUCCUCUGUGUCCAUGUCCUUUCACACAACCGACUGCGGCGGCACCGCUGCGCCAGCAACCUCCUCGUCAGCUUUUGCACUCGCUGCGCAUCAGUGGGUGCGUGCGUGGGGGAGUUGCGCCUCUGUAGCGUUUCUCCCUCCACUCGCUGUGCGCCCCUGAACCCUGGUGAGGACGCGCGUUCGUCUCCACGUUUACACUACACUAACGGGGCAUCAAGUUUCCGUGUUGCUUUCAUUGCCUCGCUGCUCCCGCACCGCACAUCGGCCUAGCGCCAUCUCCCUCCCUCCCCCUUCGCCCGUCGAUGUUUGGGGCUCACACGCUUGCUGCCCGCGACCGUAAUUCGAUAACCGGCGCGUGACAG
rnacentral:misc_RNA from 1 species